AGAGUUUGAUCAUGGCUCAGAUUGAACGCUGGCGGCAGGCUUAACACAUGCAAGUCGAGCGGGGAAGAGUAGCUUGCUACUUUACCUAGCGGCGGACGGGUGAGUAAUGCUUAGGAAUCUGCCUAUUAGUGGGGGACAACAUCUCGAAAGGGAUGCUAAUACCGCAUACGUCCUACGGGAGAAAGCAGGGGACCUUCGGGCCUUGCGCUAAUAGAUGAGCCUAAGUCGGAUUAGCUAGUUGGUGGGGUAAAGGCCUACCAAGGCGACGAUCUGUAGCGGGUCUGAGAGGAUGAUCCGCCACACUGGGACUGAGACACGGCCCAGACUCCUACGGGAGGCAGCAGUGGGGAAUAUUGGACAAUGGGCGCAAGCCUGAUCCAGCCAUGCCGCGUGUGUGAAGAAGGCCUUUUGGUUGUAAAGCACUUUAAGCGAGGAGGAGGCUACUUGGAUUAAUACUCUAGGAUAGUGGACGUUACUCGCAGAAUAAGCACCGGCUAACUCUGUGCCAGCAGCCGCGGUAAUACAGAGGGUGCAAGCGUUAAUCGGAUUUACUGGGCGUAAAGCGCGCGUAGGUGGCCAAUUAAGUCAAAUGUGAAAUCCCCGAGCUUAACUUGGGAAUUGCAUUCGAUACUGGUUGGCUAGAGUAUGGGAGAGGAUGGUAGAAUUCCAGGUGUAGCGGUGAAAUGCGUAGAGAUCUGGAGGAAUACCGAUGGCGAAGGCAGCCAUCUGGCCUAAUACUGACACUGAGGUGCGAAAGCAUGGGGAGCAAACAGGAUUAGAUACCCUGGUAGUCCAUGCCGUAAACGAUGUCUACUAGCCGUUGGGGCCUUUGAGGCUUUAGUGGCGCAGCUAACGCGAUAAGUAGACCGCCUGGGGAGUACGGUCGCAAGACUAAAACUCAAAUGAAUUGACGGGGGCCCGCACAAGCGGUGGAGCAUGUGGUUUAAUUCGAUGCAACGCGAAGAACCUUACCUGGUCUUGACAUAGCAAGAACUUUCCAGAGAU
rnacentral:rRNA from 1 species